CGCGCGUCAGGGCGGUCAGCUGAUGCACCACAACAACACAACACGGCUGAUCGCCAGGCACUGCCACGUUCGUAGGUGAGCUGAAUAAUUCUAAUAACUGGUGAUGUAAGGUAUAUCUGUUGAUUGAAAAUAAAGAUGUCGGAGGUG